rnacentral:rRNA from 1 species
AUUGAACGCUGGCGGAAUGCUUUACACAUGCAAGUCGAACGGCAGCACGGGGGCAGCCCUGGUGGCGAGUGGCGAACGGGUGAGUAAUACAUCGGAGCGUGCCCGGUCGUGGGGGAUAACGUAGCGAAAGUUACGCUAAUACCGCAUACGAUCUGAGGAUGAAAGCGGGGGACCUUCGGGCCUCGCGCGAUCGGAGCGGCCGAUGUCAGAUUAGGUAGUUGGUGGGGUAAAGGCCUACCAAGCCGACGAUCUGUAGCUGGUCUGAGAGGACGACCAGCCACACUGGGACUGAGACACGGCCCAGACUCCUACGGGAGGCAGCAGUGGGGAAUUUUGGACAAAGGGCGCAAGCCUGAUCCAGCCAUUCCGCGUGCAGGACGAAGGCCUUCGGGUUGUAAACUGCUUUUGUACGGAACGAAAAGGCUCUGGCUAAUACCUGGGGCUCAUGACGGUACCGUAAGAAUAAGCACCGGCUAACUACGUG